UGGGGAAUAUUGGACAAUGGGCGCAAGCCUGAUCCAGCCAUGCCGCGUGAGUGAUGAAGGCCCUAGGGUUGUAAAGCCCUUUCACCGGUGAAGAUAAUGACGGUAACCGGAGAAGAAGCCCCGGCUAACUUCGUGCCAGCAGCCGCGGUAAUACGAAGGGGGCUAGCGUUGUUCGGAUUUACUGGGCGUAAAGCGCACGUAGGCGGACUAUUAAGUCAGGGGUGAAAUCCCGGGGCUCAACCCCGGAACUGCCUUUGAUACUGGUAGUCUUGAGUUCGAGAGAGGUGAGUGGAAUUCCGAGUGUAGAGGUGAAAUUCGUAGAUAUUCGGAGGAACACCAGUGGUGAAGGCGGCUCUCUGGCUCGAUACUGACGCUGAGGUGCGAAAGCGUGGGGAGCAAACAGG
rnacentral:rRNA from 1 species